rnacentral:rRNA from 1 species
CUUCGUUUCCCGAUAACGGAGAAAAAGCGGCGGACGGCCGAGUAAUGCCUAGGAAAUUGCCCUGAAUGUGCGGGAUAACCAUUGGAAACGAUGGCUAAUACCGCAUAAUACCUACGGGUCAAAGAGGGGGACCUUCGGGCCUCUCGCGUCAGGAUAUGCCUAGGUGGGAUUAGCUAGUUGGUGAGGUAAUGGCUCACCAAGGCGACGAUCCCUAGCUGGUCUGAGAGGAUGAUCAGCCACACUGGAACUGAGACACGGUCCAGACUCCUACGGGCGGCAGCAGUGGGGAAUAUUGCACAAUGGGCGCAAGCCUGAUGCAGCCAUGCCGCGUGUGUGAAGAAGGCCUUCGGGUUGUAAAGCACUUUCAGUCGUGAGGAAGGUAGUGUAGUUAAUAGCUGCAUUAUUUGACGUUAGCGACAGAAGAAGCACCGGCUAACUCCGUGCCAGCAGCCGCGGUAAUACGGAGGGUGCGAGCGUUAAUCGGAAUUACUGGGCGUAAAGCGCAUGCAGGUGGUUUGUUAAGUCAGAUGUGAAAGCCCGGGGGCUCAACCUCGGGAAUAGCAUUUGAAACUGGCAGACUAGAGUACUGUAGAGGGGGGUAGAAUUUCAGGUGUAGCGGUGAAAUGCGUAGAGAUCUGAAGGAAUACCGGUGGCGAAGGCGGCCCCCUGGACAGAUACUGACACUCAGAUGCGAAAGCGUGGGGAGCAAACAGGAUUAGAUACCCUGGUAGUCCACGCCGUAAACGAUGUCUACUUGGAGGUUGUGGCCUUGAGCCGUGGCUUUCGGAGCUAACGCGUUAAGUAGACCGCCUGGGGAGUACGGUCGCAAGAUUAAAACUCAAACGCGUUAAGUAGACCGCCUGGGGAGUACGGUCGCAAGAUUAAAACUCAAUGCAACGCGAAGAACCUUACCUACUCUUGACAUCCAGAGAACUUUCCAGAGAUGGAUUGGUGCCUUCGGGAACUCUGAGACAGGUGCUGCAUGGCUGUCGUCAGCUCGUGUUGUGAAAUGUUGGGUUAAGUCCCGCAACGAGCGCAACCCUUCUCCUUGUUUGCCAGCACUUCGGGUGGGAACUCCAGGGAGACUGCCGGUGUAAACCGGAGGAAGGUGGGGACGACGUCAAGUCAUCAUGGCCCUUACGAGUAGGGCUACACACGUGCUACAAUGGCGCAUACAGAGGGCUGCCAACUUGCGAGAGUGAGCGAAUCCCAAAAAGUGCCUCGUAGUCCGGAUCGGAGUCUGCAACUCGACUCCGUGAAGUCGGAAUCGCUAGUAAUCGUGGAUCAGAAUGGCACGGUGAAUACGUUCCCGGGCCUUGUGCGCGCCGCCCG